UGAGAGUUUACUGUUUGCAUUGAAUAAAGUUUUAAAACGGUAAUGCAGUCUUCUCGACAUAAGAGUAAGGUCUGGGAAUAUUUUAGUGUGGAAAAAGGGGCUGUCAACUGCUUAUUGUGUAAACUAAAUUUAAGUCAGGGAUCAACAGACACAAAAAAGAAAAAUACAACAAAUCUUUGGUCGUAUUUGAGGUAAAUCAACAAAAAGAAUAUCAAGAGUCGCAAAAACAAAUAUUAAUAGAACAUAAAGGUCAGCCAA